rnacentral:rRNA from 1 species
CGGGAACUCAAAGGAGACUGCCAGUGAUAAACUGGAGGAAGGUGGGGAUGACGUCAAGUCAUCAUGGCCCUUACGAGUAGGGCUACACACGUGCUACAAUGGCAUAUACAAAGAGAAGCGACCUCGCGAGAGCAAGCGGACCUCAUAAAGUAUGUCGUAGUCCGGAUUGGAGUCUGCAACUCGACUCCAUGAAGUCGGAAUCGCUAGUAAUCGU